AUUGAACGCUGGCGGCAUGCUUUACACAUGCAAGUCGAACGGUAACAGGUCUUCGGAUGCUGACGAGUGGCGAACGGGUGAGUAAUACAUCGGAACGUGCCUAGUAGUGGGGGAUAACUACUCGAAAGAGUAGCUAAUACCGCAUGAGAUCUGCGGAUGAAAGCAGGGGACCUUCGGGCCUUGUGCUACUAGAGCGGCUGAUGGCAGAUUAGGUAGUUGGUGGGGUAAAGGCUUACCAAGCCUGCGAUCUGUAGCUGGUCUGAGAGGACGACCAGCCACACUGGGACUGAGACACGGCCCAGACUCCUACGGGAGGCAGCAGUGGGGAAUUUUGGACAAUGGGCGAAAGCCUGAUCCAGCAAUGCCGCGUGCAGGAUGAAGGCCCUCGGGUUGUAAACUGCUUUUGUACGGAACGAAAAGCCUGGGGCUAAUAUCCCCAGGUCAUGACGGUACCGUAAGAAUAAGCACCGGCUAACUACGUGCCAGCCGCCGCGGUAAGAC
rnacentral:rRNA from 1 species